AUUUAACCGUAAUUUGUGGCAUGUGGCCCGGCAGCGCUUCAUCAUGCUGUUGACUGAGCAUCUGGUGCGCUGUGAGACGGGCAGCGUCAACGUCAGCACGCCGUGGUACAAGAACUGCGUAGAGAGACUACAGCAGAUCUUUCUCAUGCACCACGUGACCAUCCAGCAGUACAUGGGCACGUUGGAAAAUCUGCUGUUCACAGCUGAGCUGGACCACCACAUCCUAGCCGUCUAUCAGCAAUUUUGCGCCCUUCAGCUCUGAAAAGCCUCUGCACAACUUUACGGCUCUUGCAUCAAGAAUCUCCUCAGCCAUUAAAAAAA